UUUUUAUUAAAUUUAUUGAUGGUGACCUCCCGGGAGCGGGGGGCCACCAGGUUGCCUAAGGAGGGGUGAACCGGCCCAGGUCGGAGACGGAGCAGGUCAAAGCUCCCGUGCUGAUCAGUAGUGGGAUCG
rnacentral:SRP_RNA from 1 species